UUGAAAUGUUAAUUCACCCACAUCUGGUACCUGGGAACAAUUCUGCAGCCUAGGCUAUCACAUCUAUUGCAACUUUGAAUGUAACCUCCCUUGCCACACAGAAAUGGAAGAAAUCACACCUGAAAUUUCCUAUAAUUUAAUCUCACCAACGAGAUCUUUUUUGUCAAGUCCUUUUUCAAAACUCUGCAAGGUUUAGAAGUUCUGAUACCAAACAGUACUGAUACUGAUAUGGAACAUGGCAGAAACACUGAGUGAACUAGAUUUGAACAGGACAGGAUCUGGAGUUGGCGGGGUCCUCCAAGGCAGCAGCUAGGAGACAGGUGUUGAGUGGUGAAAAGAUAACUGGGUUGGUAGGAGGCUAGUGAGGAGAGUUCAGCAAGGAAUAAUAAGUGAGCUCAUCUACUGGAAGGCAGAGAGAAGCAUCUGAGAGGAAACAAAAGGAGGGAUUCUAGGCAUGUCAUCUGACAGCAGGCUGUGAGAACUGCAGCUCUUAUACAAAGCCAGAGACGUUGAAAAGAACAAGGUAGGCCCUCAAUCUCAGUCUCUGAUAGCCUGAGCUCUGUGUUCUGCAAAUUCUUCCCCUAGCUGGUGGUGUCUCCCAAAGGCAUCAUCUACUCCAGGGUUCUUGGUUCCUCUAAGAAACCUCCUGCUUCCACCCCCGGCCCAUUCCACAUAAUGUUUACAAGUUGGAGAAAAAGAGAUUUUAAGGUUGUAAUAAAAGCAGCUCUUACAUCAGCCUAAUGCUCAGUGUUCCUGUAUUUGCUGACAGCUCCUUCCUGAAAACGUCUGGGACUCUGCCUGAGACUUCUCCCUGAUCACUGGAGCAUACUUGAGUCUGGAACAGGGCAGACCAGAAAAGCCAGGGUCUUAAUGCCCCUCGGAGCAACCUUCAAACAAUGAUUGACUGCAGGUUAGACCACCUUCCUUGUCCUGUGGAGAUCUCUGCAUAUCAAGAGGGCAAAGGCAAAAGCUGUCAGGACAGCUCUUAAACAAGUUCUGCACAAUCUCCCAGAGAAUCCAUGGAGACUUCCGUGGAGCACCCCAGGAAGGACCCAGUGGAGAACCCCCAUAUGGAAGACCCCAUGGCAGACCCCCAGGAGAACACCAGCCUGUGGAGAACCUCCAGGGAAGACCCCCAUGGAGGACCCCCUGAUACCCUGGAGAACCACUCCCCACCCCGUGGAGGCCCCCCAUGGAGAACCCCCAGGGAUGACCCCCUGGAGAGCAACCCCCCACUCAGUGGAGGACCCUAUGAGACUGAGCUCUGCUGAGCUGCUCAUUAACUCCUCUGCCUGGCUUCCUCCCUUCUGUAUUUCCUUCCUCAUGCCCUGACCGGGGCUUCCUGAAAUCAAUUCCCAAUGGACUAUUUACACAUAUGUUCUGAUCUCAAGCCUGUUUUUGAUAACCUCCACCUAAGACUGCAAUGAAAUAAGUUUGGGAAGUGUGGCCCAUUUCAGAAUCAUGGGGUGGGAAGGUCUAAAGUUGAAAACUACAAAGUGA